GUACGUGGGGCUUUGAACAAGAUUAUCCUUUCGAUCUUAUGCCCGGUAUUUUUGUUGAAUUACAUUGACACAAGAUUUUACAUGUUUUACCAUGAAUUGGAAAUAUGGUUUUAUGUCUUAUAUUAUUAUCAAAGAGCUAUGGGAUUAUGUUAUCUGAUAUGUGCAUGAUAUUGAGGUGGAAUUAUGUCCAAAAAGUAUUUGAUUAUGAGGGUAUGAUGAUUUAAUUUGUUAAGCCUUGAUUUAUACUAUCAUUCC
rnacentral:lncRNA from 1 species